UACGUAGGGUGCAAGCGUUAUCCGGAAUUAUUGGGCGUAAAGAGCUCGUAGGCGGUUUGUCGCGUCUGCUGUGGAAAACUGGAGGCUCAACCUCCAGCCUGCAGUGGGUACGGGCAAACUAGAGUGCGGUAGGGGAGAUUGGAAUUCCUGGUGUAGCGGUGGAAUGCGCAGAUAUCAGGAGGAACACCGGAUGGCGAAGG
rnacentral:rRNA from 1 species